AACCAAGCAAAGAAUAAUGAGAUCAUGCAACGACUUUAGAAAACAAUGAUGCAGAGAUUAUUAACUCUCCAAAUAAACGUUUAGGCUUAAGUCUCACAAGGUUGUAUCGUUCAUUUGAGUUUCAUCCUUCAAGCAUGUUACAAAAACUGAUUUUUCCUUUAUGAUUGCAUGUGAAUUCAUAAAUUAUAACCACAACCAACCAUACACCAAAGAGUAAAUCAAAUUUUCGUCCAUGUUUAUAACUCUCUUUAACAGUCAUGUAAUUAAAAACCAAAUCCUCAUCAUUGUGUUGGAAGGUAUCCUAAGACACAAAUAAACACCCAAAAACAACUCUUUUUGGGUUUUUCAAAACAAUUUUUCAAAU
rnacentral:lncRNA from 1 species